GGCUCUGUGGUGAAGUUCAUGGCGGGUUGCAAGCUCGCAGAUGUACGUUGGUGACGUGCCAGGGCCU
rnacentral:tRNA from 1 species